rnacentral:rRNA from 1 species
CCCUUUAGAUGUCCUGGGCUGCACGCGCGUUACACUGAAAAUAUCAACAAGUUUUUUUUUACAUCGCGCACGUCCAUUCGGGCGUGUGCAUUUUUUUCCUUGCCUUGACAGGUUGGGUAAACUUUGCAACCAUUUUCGUGCUGGGGAUUGGCGAUUGCAAUUUUUCGCCAUGAACGAGGAAUACCUAGUAAACGCAAGUCAUCAACUUGCAUUGACUUAGUCUCUGCCCUUUGUACACACCGCCCGUCGCUCCUACCGAUGAAUAGUCCGGUAAAACACUGGGACUGGACGCUCCUUGCUCUCGAGCGGGAUUGUCUGGAAACUUUUUUGAACCUUAUUAUUUAGAGGAAGGAGAAGUCGUAACA